CCAGGCGCGUCGACCAGGUGGGCCGACCGACCUCAGCCUUCGGCCCGCUCAGCCCAACCCAUGACUGUUCUUCUUCUCCCACAAAGGCAUCUAAAUCCACCGACGAACCUACCGCUCUGUCUUCCACCUCUCAAUCAAUGUACAGACAGGACCACCGCUGGACUCUCUCUUACUCUUUCCUGUGAUUCUGGCAAGAAACAAUUGCUGUGCAGGCCAUCGACACUGCAGGCUGUAUCCACCGGCGAUUGACGCUUCCUCUUCUCCAUUUAUGCUCUUCUUCAUGAUCUGCAGGGCGGCAGACUCUGUUCCUCUCCUCAAGAUCUCGGUUUGCACUAAACAGAUGAAACGCCCCCAUUAUGUCAUUACCUCCACCAUCCGUCUCUUCACAUCUAGGCAUUUCUAUUGUACUUUUAUCUUCUCCCCGCAUUAUAUAAUAAUCUCAAAUCUGCGGAUGCAGCAAUGGGCAUCACCCUCCUCAUGCCGUAAAGGGGACAGAGUCGUAUCUUACUGAUCCCACCCAUGCCUCAAAAUUCUCUGCUAUAUAGUUCUUGAUGGCUUAAUUGUGUUGGACGGACCUUUAGGCUGCAGAUCAACAUCUCCAUCAAUAGGUCGAGGUACCGCUCUACACCUUCUCUCUGCGCAUUUGGAUCAUGUUAGCUCAUUUCUUUCUUUUUUUCUUCUUGCUUUUGUAGAUUAAUCUUACUCUGUACAUUUUUCCUUCUUUUUGUUCUAGCAUAAACAAUCCCCUUUCCUUCUUGAUGUUGGCCUUGUGGCAAGAGAGAGCAACACCACUAAGAUGGCUUUCUUGAGUCUCUCCACUCAGUCAACAACACUUACAGAUGCCAUGUUUGAGCGUUCCAUGUUUGAUC